GUGCUCACCUUGGCAACACAUAUACUAAAAUUGGAAUUAUAUUGAGAAGAUUGGCAUGACCCCUGUACAAGGAUGACACAGAAAUUCAUGAAGCAUUUGAUAGAUAG
rnacentral:snRNA from 1 species